GUGGGGAAUAUUGGACAAUGGGCGGAAGCCUGAUCCAGCCAUGCCGCGUGUGUGAAGAAGGUCUUCGGAUUGUAAAGCACUUUAAGUUGGGAGGAAGGGCAGUAAGCUAAUACCUUGCUGUUUUGACGUUACCGACAGAAUAAGCACCGGCUAACUUCGUGCCAGCAGCCGCGGUAAUACGAAGGGUGCAAGCGUUAAUCGGAAUUACUGGGCGUAAAGCGCGCGUAGGUGGUUCAGCAAGUUGGAGGUGAAAUCCCCGGGCUCAACCUGGGAACUGCCUCCAAAACUACUGAGCUAGAGUACGGUAGAGGGUAGUGGAAUUUCCUGUGUAGCGGUGAAAUGCGUAGAUAUAGGAAGGAACACCAGUGGCGAAGGCGACUACCUGGACUGAUACUGACACUGAGGUGCGAAAGCGUGGGGAGCAAACAGGAUUAGAAACCCUGGUAGUCC
rnacentral:rRNA from 1 species